rnacentral:rRNA from 1 species
GACGAACGCUGGCGGCGUGCUUAACACAUGCAAGUCGAACGGUAAGGCCCUUCGGGGUACACGAGUGGCGAACGGGUGAGUAACACGUGGGUGAUCUGCCCUGCACUUCGGGAUAAGCCUGGGAAACUGGGUCUAAUACCGGAUAGGACCCUGGGAUGCAUGUCCUGGGGUGGAAAGCUUUUGCGGUGUGGGAUGGGCCCGCGGCCUAUCAGCUGGUUGGUGGGGUGAUGGCCUAACAGGGCGACGACGGGUAGCUGGCCUGAGAGGGUGACCGGCCACACUGGGACUGAGAUACGGCCCAGACUCCUACGGGAGGCAGCAGUGGGGAAUAUUGCACAAUGGGCGCAAGCCUGAUGCAGCGACGCCGCGUGUGGGAUGACGGCCUUCGGGUUGUAAACCUCUUUCAGCACCGACGAAGCGCAAGUGACGGUAGGUGCGGAAGAAGGACCGGCCAACUACGUGCCAGCCGCCGCCGUAA